rnacentral:rRNA from 1 species
UACGGAGGGUGCGAGCGUUGUCCGGAAUCACUGGGCGUAAAGGGCGCGUAGGUGGCGGUCCAAGUCAACGGUGAAAGCUCGGGGCUCAACCCCGAGUCGGCCGUCGAUACUGGGUUGCUUGAGCACUGUAGAGGCAGAUGGAAUUCCGGGUGUAGCGGUGGAAUGCGUAGAGAUCCGGAAGAACACCGGUGGUGAAGGCGGUCUGCUGGGCAGUAGCUGACACUGAGGCGCGACAGCGUGGGGAGCAAACAGG